rnacentral:rRNA from 1 species
AUUGAACGCUGGCGGCAUGCCUUACACAUGCAAGUCGAACGGUAACGGGCCUUCGGGUGCCGACGAGUGGCGAACGGGUGAGUAAUACAUCGGAACGUGCCCGAUCGUGGGGGAUAACGAGGCGAAAGCUUUGCUAAUACCGCAUACGAUCUACGGAUGAAAGCAGGGGACCGCAAGGCCUUGCGCGGACGGAGCGGCCGAUGGCAGAUUAGGUAGUUGGUGGGGUAAAAGCUUACCAAGCCGACGAUCUGUAGCUGGUCUGAGAGGAUGAUCAGCCACACUGGGACUGAGACACGGCCCAGACUCCUAAGGGAGGCAGCAGUGGGGAAUUUUGGACAAUGGGCGCAAGCCUGAUCCAGCCAUGCCGCGCGCAGGAUGAAGGCCUUCGGGUUGUAAACUGCUUUUGUACGGAACGAAAAGCCUUCUUUUAAUACAGGAGGGUCAUGACGGUACCGUAAGAAUAAGCACCGGCUAACUACGUG